UACGAAGGGGGCUAGCGUUGCUCGGAAUCACUGGGCGUAAAGGGUGCGUAGGCGGGUCUUUAAGUCAGAGGUGAAAUCCUGGAGCUCAACUCCAGAACUGCCUUUGAUACUGAAGAUCUUGAGUUCGGGAGAGGUGAGUGGAACUGCGAGUGUAGAGGUGAAAUUCGUAGAUAUUCGCAAGAACACCAGUGGCGAAGGCGGCUCACUGGCCCGAUACUGACGCUGAGGCACGAAAGCGUGGGGAGCAACAGGG
rnacentral:rRNA from 1 species